AGUGAACGCUGGCGGUAGGCCUAACACAUGCAAGUCGAACGGCAGCACAGUAAGAGCUUGCUCUUACGGGUGGCGAGUGGCGGACGGGUGAGGAAUACAUCGGAAUCUACUUUUUCGUGGGGGAUAACGUAGGGAAACUUACGCUAAUACCGCAUACGACCUACGGGUGAAAGCAGGGGAUCUUCGGACCUUGCGCGAUUGAAUGAGCCGAUGUCGGAUUAGCUAGUUGGCGGGGUAAAGGCCCACCAAGGCGACGAUCCGUAGCUGGUCUGAGAGGAUGAUAAGCCACACUGGAACUGAGACACGGUCCAGACUCCUACGGGAGGCAGCAGUGGGGAAUAUUGGACAAUGGGCGCAAGCCUGAUCCAGCCAUACCGAGUGGGUGAAGAAGGCCUUCGGGUUGUAAAGCCCUUUUGUUGGGAAAGAAAAGCAGCAGGUUAAUACCCAGCUGUUCUGACGGUACCCAAAGAAUAAGCACCGGCUAACUUCGUG
rnacentral:rRNA from 1 species